rnacentral:rRNA from 1 species
GACGGGGGGGGCAAGUGUUCUUCGGAAUGACUGGGCGUAAAGGGCACGUAGGCGGUGAAUCGGGUUGAAAGUGAAAGUCGCCAAAAAGUGGCGGAAUGCUCUCGAAACCAAUUCACUUGAGUGAGACAGAGGAGAGUGGAAUUUCGUGUGUAGGGGUGAAAUCCGUAAAUAUACGAAGGAACGCCAAAAGUGAAGGCAGCUCGUCUGGGUCCCUA